CUAUAGUGUGAAUGGGCUCUUAUGUAUUUCUAAUUGUCUAGUAACAUCUACAUUGGCUCGUGUGUGUAAACACAUUUUUGUAAUGUUUCCAUUUUUGUCACGUGGUUAAUGCGAGGCCCGUCCACAAGCAGGUAAGGGCUAGGACUACAGUAGAAUUAUGGUCACUAGGCAACCACGCAUGAACGUGUUUACGUCGUCACGCUCGGCUUCCGGCUGAACACUGCUUCCGGGUCACGUGAGCAGGAUUUAAAAGGCCGCGUGGUGCUGCUCAUUGUUACAUCGCGGUGAGAGAUCUGUGGGGAGGAUCGCAUCUUGGCUCAGCCGCUGUUCACAUCAGGAGUCCGGAGACGGCAAUGGAUCUUUCGCGUGCAGACAACUUCCUUGCCGGCGUGUUGGCACAGCAGAGGGUCCGCUCCGAGUGCAGCAGCAUGGACAUAGCCCGGACUGACCUAGCACAUGGCUGCUCUCCUAGAAUGGAGAUCUGUGAUCCUGUAAUGUGUUCUGGUGGAAACUUUCCCCAGCUGCAUUCAUUCUAAAUCACUAAUGUAUGGUGGCCAUGAUGCGGAUCUGGAUGGAAGGACUUGGCCCUGGUGACUGUAUCACAAGAUAGCUUUCUGCACUGAUGUAACCAUUUACUGACUGCUGAUAUCUACAGAUUGGACAACGUGCCGAAGAGCCAUGAAUCCUGGAGCUUCUACAAGCAGGACGAGUCCAAUGUCCUAAAGUCUCAAUACUCUGAGCAGAAGACGUGUCCUGAGCCCUGCAGGAGGAGGAUACUUGGUCUCAGAAUCGCAUGUUGGAAAUCGGCUGAGACCAUCAAAAUGUCAACAUGCUGCAAAUAUUGGGGUGAUCCAGAGAUCCUGGGAGUCGACCCCAACAGAUGGGAACGUGGAGAAUUGUAACUGCAAGAGCUGUGACCCUGUAUAUGAUCUAUGUAAUGUGAAUAAAACAGAGCACCAUUAAAUGGA